UACAGAGGUCUCAAGCGUUGUUCGGAUUCAUUGGGCGUAAAGGGUGCGUAGGCGGCGCGGAAAGUCGGGUGUGAAAUUUCGGAGCUUAACUCCGAAACUGCAUUCGAUACUCCCGUGCUUGAGGACUGGAGAGGAGACUGGAAUUUACGGUGUAGCAGUGAAAUGCGUAGAGAUCGUAAGGAAGACCAGUGGCGAAGGCGGGUCUCUGGACAGUUCCUGACACUGAGGCACGAAGGCCAGGGGAGCAAACGGG
rnacentral:rRNA from 1 species